rnacentral:rRNA from 1 species
AGCGCAGGUGGUUGUAUAAGUCUGAAGUAAAAGGAAGUGGCUCAACCAUUGUGUGCUUUGGAAACUGUACAACUUGAGUGCAGAAGGGGAGAGUGGAAUUCCAUGUGUAGCGGUGAAAUGCGUAGAUAUAUGGAGGAACACCGGUGGCGAAAGCGGCUCUCUGGUCUGUAACUGACACUGAGGCUGAAAGCGUGGGGAGCGAACA